CUGAUCCUAUUGGGGUGUUAUAAGGACACAUUGGGGUGUUGUAGGGCUUCUCAGGUUGUAGUUGAUCCUAUUGGGGUGUUGUAGGGCUCCUCAGGUUGUAGUUGAUCCUAUUGGGGUGUUGUAGGGACCCAUUGGGUGUCUCUGGUUCCAUUGGGGUGUUGUAGGGACCCUCAGGUUGUUGUAGGGACCCUCAGGUUGUAGUUGAUCCUAUUGGGGUAUUGUAGGGCUCCUCAGGUUGUUGUAGGGCCCCUCAGGUUGUAUCUGAUCCUAUUGGGGUGUUGUAGGGACCCUUUGGGUGUAUCUGGCCCCAUUGGGGUGUUGUAGGGACCCUCAGGUUGUAGCUGAUCCUAUUGGGGUGUUAUAAGGACCCAUUGGGGUGUUGUAGGGCCCCUCAGGUUGUAGUUGAUCCUAUUGGGGUGUUGUAGGGCUCCUCAGGUUGUUGUAGGAACUCAUUGGGUGUCUCUGGUUCCAUUGGGGUGUUGUAGGGCCCCAUUGGGUGUAUGUGAUCCUAUUGGGG